rnacentral:rRNA from 1 species
AUUGAACGCUGGCGGCAGGCUAAACACAUGCAGGUCGAGCGGAGAUGAGGUGCUUGCACCUUAUCUUAGCGGCGGACGGGUGAGUAAUGCUUAGGAAUCUGCCUAUUAGUGGGGGACAACAUUCCGAAAGGAAUGCUAAUACCGCAUACGUCCUACGGGAGAAAGCAGGGGACCUUCGGGCCUUGCGCUAAUAGAUGAGCCUAAGUCGGAUUAGCUAGUUGGUGGGGUAAAGGCCUACCAAGGCGACGAUCUGUAGCGGGUCUGAGAGGAUGAUCCGCCACACUGGGACUGAGACACGGCCCAGACUCCUACGGGAGGCAGCAGUGGGAAAUAUUGGACAAUGGGCGGAAGCCUGAUCCAGCCAUGCCGCGUGUGUGAAGAAGGCCUUUUGGUUGUAAAGCACUUUAAGCGAGGAGGAGGCUACUAGUACUAAUACUACUGGAUAGUGGACGUUACUCGCAGAAUAAGCACCGGCUAACUCUGUGCCAGCCGCCGCAGUAAAAC